rnacentral:lncRNA from 1 species
ACAAUACAACUAAGCCCUAACCCAACUCUUAGCUCCACGACUCCACCCUGCUCCACCUGGCUACGGUACAUGCCCCAUAGUCUCUCAUCCUCCCAUGGCACCAAUCUAGCUCGCCAAACUCCCACUAUCACCUAUUCCACCUAUGUUGUUGCCAUUAACGCCAUUCUUCUCUGCUCCUAGGCUCCUCAGACCAUGGUAGCCUCUAGUGACAAAUAUGACGUGGGGUCUACAGGGGCUCCAGCCUCCACUACCAGCUCUAAACCUAUGGAGCCUUGCCAAGUACUCGCUAAAAUUUCCUGCCAUAUGUUCAUAAAAGGAGGGGUUAAAGUUCCAUAAAAGGUCGAAGAAAGUAAUUUUAGCACUUCACUAUUAUUUUCUUCUGAACCCUCUAGUUGGCUCCUGCUUCUCUCUAGCAAUAACCACUAAGAGCAUCCCCAACAGCUCAUCUAUCACAUCCUAUAUCCUGAAAAUAAAGGAUGAAGACUACAAAUUGAGCUCCGACAGAACGGUUAUCAUAUUAUCUAUUUUUAGAUCACAUCCAUAUUAGAAGAGAAAACCUUCAUAUUUAGAUGAUCUCUCUCUAUCCUCUAAAGAGGAUGUCAUAUAUGAAUGUUCUAGUGAAGUACAA